rnacentral:tRNA from 1 species
GGGGCUUUAGCUCAUCUGGGAGAGCGUCGGUUUUGCAUACCGAAGGUGAGCGGUUCGAGUCCGCUAAGCUCCA